rnacentral:lncRNA from 1 species
AAUGUCUAAAACCUCUUCCCAGCUACACGAUCUUCAACAUGAAUGUUUUGAUCCUUUUCAGUAAUCUGUCUUAGAAACACCACUGACCUGCAGGUUAGAGUUAUUAAAAGUUCUGUGAUUAGAGCUGUGACAGCUCUAAUAAACAGAUAUAUUCCUUCAAGAGAACACAGCAAGUGCCAAAGCACAGGAGCACUCACGGUGUCAUCUCUGUUGACAGCUUGCACCACACAAACUGGGCUUAUCAUGCAGCUUUUUGGGUGUUCUUGCAGAUAUCAGAACAAUCCACAUGUGACAUCAGGACCAUCUCUACUGAGCCCACUCGAGCAGUGCACAAGUAAAGGAAUUUCAGCUGAAUAAGAUAACAACCACAUGUAAUAAAAUAAAUCCCUGUAAAUCCCACCUGAGGAGGAGAAAGAAUCAUCAUGACAAAAUCUAUAGCUGUGGAGACAACUGUGGAAGCCCACAGCUACACAAGGACAGGAAGUUGAAGUGUUUCCCUCCCACAACACCUUGAUACCUUGAACCUGAAGAAGUUGUUUCCUCAGACAACAUUCUGCACUCUCCAUCUCAGCAGCUCUUACCAACACAUGGCCUACACCAGGCAGGCAGCACAAGUGACAGGCCCUGGUGGAGAGACUCGUAAGGGGACAUUGUGGCCAUUUCAGUAUCACAUUCUCAUCUCAUUAUCAGCAAGGCCUCCCACUCCAGACCCUGAGGACCUAGGAAAGCAUCCUCAACAACAACACUCAGUUCCCAUCCUGUCUCACCCUUUAUUGCACAAAUCCUUCGCUAGCCCAUUCUGAGAUGCGUUCUAAAGGCAAAUAUAUAACGUCAUGAUAUUUUCUUUUAUGAUCCAUGGUCUCCCAAAGGAUUUUCAUUUUCACCACACAAGUCUUUCUGCUGCUCAAGGGCACCCCUCCCACCAGAAAAGGGCCACUCCCUACUCUCUAUACAACAGAUCAGAGUUUCCUUUCCUACUACAAGGUCCAGCACAACCAUUGCUUAUCCUUCCCAGCAAUGCCACACCGUAAAAUCUACGGACAGUAUCACCAACACAGUGCAUAGGAGAUGCUCUGCUGCUGACACCUCAUGAUUUCUAAUGCUUCCUUAUGGGGAAUACUAUUAUCAAAGGUGAUGUUGGAACCUCUAAACAGCACUGGCAUUGAUUUUGUGCUCCAGGCACCAAAACUCUGGCAAGGACACUAAUAUGUGAUACUUCCUCUUUUGUAGAAUGCUACCUAAAAAUUGGUGGGGAAAGGUGAUUCAUUGAUUUUGGGCGUUAUUUGUUUGUUUGUUCUUUACAGAAGUGAAAAUUUCCACUUUCAAAGCCAUUUUAAGUCUUGAUCAUUGAUGUAACAAUUGAUGCAAAUUUUGAGAGAACGUCAAAAAAGAACAGUGUACUUCAUGCUACCUCUCAGCCAUAAAAUUAAAAUCCUCAGGAACAUGAGCAGGAGGAAAACAACAGAAAAAUUUGCCUUGUGAAACACAUAUCUUGGGUCAUACACUGAACGCUUUAUACUGCUAAACAGAACAGCAUGAUAUUUGCAAAACAAACAUAGGAAGAUCAACUACCCUAGGCGACAACUACCCUAUUUUCUAAAUGAGUCUCAUAGCAGAACAAUAAUAGAGAACUUUCGUCCUUGAAUAUCCACUUCACAUCCUUGCAUCAUACCUUCAUAUGACCAUAAUUAAAAAGGAGGAGGGCAGUUUUCAAUUAAAAGACAAAUGGAUACCAGCACGGUUAUCAGUCAGCAAUGGCAAUGAGGUUGUCCACAGCACCUGCGACUCUGUCACCAACACAGC